rnacentral:rRNA from 1 species
UACAGAGGGUGCGAGCGUUUAAUCGGAAUUACUGGGCGUAAAGCGUGCGUAGACGGUUAUGUAAGUCGGAUGUGAAAGCCCCGGGCUCAACCUGGGAAUGGCAUUCGAGACUGCAUAGCUAGGAUGCGGAAGAGGGAAGCGGAAUUUCCGGUGUAGCGGUGAAAUGCGUAGAUAUCGGAAGGAACAUCAGUGGCGAAAGCGGCUUCCUGGUCCAGCAUCGACGUUCAGGCACGAAAGCGUGGGGAGCAAACAGG